CACUGAUCCAACAUGCAGCCGCCAACUGGAGGCAGCGCCUCUGGUGCAUGAUGACUGAGUAGUGGAGAGGCCGACAGAUGGCUACAAACCUGUCAAAGGACAUGACGCCCAGCAGAAAGCAUUCUGUGCAACCCAAAGCCAGGAAAAUGAAAAGCUGGGCCACACAGCCACCAUAGCUGAUCACCUUCCGGGUGCUGCAGAUGUUGAUGAGCAUCUGUGGGACCGUGCUUGUGGUGUAGCACAGGUCCAGCAAGGACAGCAGGAAGAUAAUGGAAAAGAAGGGAGAUGAAAAGGAAGAUCAAAGUGAAGAAGAUGGACAGGAUGAAAUGAUGGAAAAGAUGAAGUUGUGGCUGGUGAAGGAAACAGAAAGGAUGAAAGCAAUGUGGAGCCUGGGAAAGAAGUCAAAAAUGAAGACUUCAAGAUGAAGAAAAAGAGGAGACUGGAGUAUUGUUUAAAACUGCCCUAUGUGAUAUCAUAAUUUAGUAAUGCAGCUUUUUUUUUUUUACUAUUGUUACCUCUUUGUAACAGGCAGAGACCAUUAAAGAAAGC
rnacentral:lncRNA from 1 species